UGGGGAAUAUUGGACAAUGGGCGGAAGCCUGAUCCAGCCAUGCCGCGUGUGUGAAGAAGGCCUUUUGGUUGUAAAGCACUUUAAGCGAGGAGGAGGCUACUUGGAUUAAUACUCUAGGAUAGUGGACGUUACUCGCAGAAUAAGCACCGGCUAACUCUGUGCCAGCAGCCGCGGUAAUACAGAGGGUGCGAGCGUUAAUCGGAUUUACUGGGCGUAAAGCGUGCGUAGGCGGCUUCUUAAGUCGGAUGUGAAAUCCCUGAGCUUAACUUAGGAAUUGCAUUCGAUACUGGGAAGCUAGAGUAUGGGAGAGGAUGGUAGAAUUCCAGGUGUAGCGGUGAAAUGCGUAGAGAUCUGGAGGAAUACCGAUGGCGAAGGCAGCCAUCUGGCCUAAUACUGACGCUGAGGUACGAAAGCAUAGGGAGCAAACAGG
rnacentral:rRNA from 1 species